rnacentral:misc_RNA from 1 species
GAUGAAGAACGCAGUGAAAUGCGAUAAGUAAUGUGAAUUGCAGAAUUCAGUGAAUCAUCGAAUCUUUGAACGCACAUUGCGCCCAUUAGUAUUCUAGUGGGCAUGCCUGUUCGAGCGUCAUUAAGUCCACUUAAGCCCUGCUUAGUGUUGGGAGACUGCUCCAGCGGUGCUACCCUGUAGCUACCCUGCAGCUCCUCAAAGACAGCUGCGGAGUUGUGGUAUCCUCUGAGCUUAGUAACUUGUUCUAGCUUUCGAGUACACCACUUCCCCUGCCGUAAAACCCUUAAUUUUUAAUGGUUGACCUCGGAUCAGGUAGGAAUACCCGCUGAACUUAAGCAUAUCAAUAAGCGGAGGA